AGCAGUAGCCACGGUAAUACAGAGGGUGCAAGCGUUAAUCGGAAUUACUGGGCGUAAAGCGCGCGUAGGUGGUUUGUUAAGUCGGAUGUGAAAUCCCCGGGCUCAACCUGGGAACUGCAUCCGAAACUGGCAAGCUAGAGUAUGGUAGAGGGUAGUGGAAUUUCCUGUGUAGCGGUGAAAUGCGUAGAUAUAGGAAGGAACACCAGUGGCGAAGGCGACUACCUGGACUGAUACUGACACUGAGGUGCGAAAGCGUGGGGAGCAAACAGGAUUAGAUACCCGCGUAGUCCCUGUCUCUUAUAC
rnacentral:rRNA from 1 species